rnacentral:rRNA from 1 species
UGGGAAGAAGCUUAUUUUGGGGGAAACUGCCGCGAGGUUAUAACUUUAACAAAGGAAUACUUAACUUAAUAAUAUCAAUUGUUAAAUAUGAUUAUAUUGUUAUAAAUUUUAAAUUUUAUAUUUAUUAUAUUUAAUUUAAGAGUAGUUUGUAUGCUAAUUUUUAUAAGAUAUUUGUUUUAUAUUGUAAUUAGUCUUUUAUUAAAAAACACCUUUGUUAAGCUAAUUAGUUUCAGUUAACCCAUUUAAGUAACAUCU